GGGUUAAGAUAGUGAUCACUGUGUUACAAAUUAUUGUCUCAAGAUGAGCCUGCGCAAUAUUAGCUAGUUGGUGGGGUAAUGGCCUACCAAGGCAACGAUAUUCUAGCUGGUCUGAGAGGAUGAUCAGCCUAGACUGGAACUGAGACACGGUCCAGAUCUCCUACGGGAGGCAGGCAGUAGUGGAAUAUUGCUCAAUGGGGGAAUAGCCCUGAAGCAGCAACGCCGCGUGAUGUGAUCGAAGUGCCUUCGGUGUCGUCAAAUGCUCUGUCUCGUACGGGGCGAACGUCUGGUAUGGCUGAAUAUCCAUGAUCAAGUGACAGUCACCGUAUAAUGAAAUGGACCGGCUAACUUCGUGCCAGUCAGCCGCGGUAAGACGGGGGGUCCAAGCGUUGUUCGGAAUCAUUGGGCGUGAAAGCGUGUGCAGGUGGUCUUGUCAAGUUGGAUCGUGAAAGCCCCGUAGCUUAAACUCGGGAAGUGCAUUCAAUAGAUCUGCAAGACUUGAGUAUGGAACGAG
rnacentral:rRNA from 1 species